UCCUAUGUGAUCUAGUGGUUAGGUUUCCUGAUUUUCAUGUAGGCUUUCCGGGUUCAAAUUCCGGCAUGGGAA
rnacentral:tRNA from 1 species